rnacentral:rRNA from 1 species
AUGAACGCUAGCUACAGGCUUAACACAUGCAAGUCGAGGGGCAGCAUGAACUUAGCUUGCUAAGUUUGAUGGCGACCGGCGCACGGGUGAGUAACACGUAUCCAACCUGCCGAUGACUCGGGGAUAGCCUUUCGAAAGAAAGAUUAAUACCCGAUGGCAUAGUUCUUCCGCAUGGUAGAACUAUUAAAGAAUUUCGGUCAUCGAUGGGGAUGCGUUCCAUUAGGUUGUUGGCGGGGUAACGGCCCACCAAGCCUUCGAUGGAUAGGGGUUCUGAGAGGAAGGUCCCCCACAUUGGAACUGAGACACGGUCCAAACUCCUACGGGAGGCAGCAGUGAGGAAUAUUGGUCAAUGGACGAGAGUCUGAACCAGCCAAGUAGCGUGAAGGAUGACUGCCCUAUGGGUUGUAAACUUCUUUUAUACGGGAAUAAAGUGAGGCACGUGUGCCUUUUUGUAUGUACCGUAUGAAUAAGGAUCGGCUAACUCCGUGCCAGCAGCCGCGGUAAUACGGAGGAUCCGAGCGUUAUCCGGAUUUAUUGGGUUUAAAGGGAGCGUAGGCGGACGCUUAAGUCAGUUGUGAAAGUUUGCGGCUCAACCGUAAAAUUGCAGUUGAUACUGGGUGUCUUGAGUACAGUAGAGGCAGGCGGAAUUCGUGGUGUAGCGGUGAAAUGCUUAGAUAUCACGAAGAACUCCGAUUGCGAAGGCAGCCUGCUGGACUGUAACUGACGCUGAUGCUCGAAAGUGUGGGUAUCAAACAGGAUUAGAUACCCUGGUAGUCCACACAGUAAACGAUGAAUACUCGCUGUUUGCGAUAUACAGUAAGCGGCCAAGCGAAAGCGUUAAGUAUUCCACCUGGGGAGUACGCCGGCAACGGUGAAACUCAAAGGAAUUGACGGGGACCCGCACAAGCAGUGGAUUAUGUGGUUUAAUUCGAAGCAACGCGAAGAACCUUACCUGGUCUUGACAUCCACGGAAGUUUUCAGAGAUGAGAAUGUGCCUUCGGGAACCGUGAGACAGGUGCUGCAUGGCUGUCGUCAGCUCGUGUUGUGAAAUGUUGGGUUAAGUCCCGCAACGAGCGCAACCCCUGCCAUUAGUUGCUACGCAAGAGCACUCUAAUGGGACCGCUACCGACAAGGUGGAGGAAGGUGGGGAUGACGUCAAAUCAGCACGGCCCUUACGUCCGGGGCUACACACGUGUUACAAUGGGGGGUACAGAAGGCAGCUACACGGCGACGUGAUGCUAAUCCCGAAAGCCUCUCUCAGUUCGGAUUGGAGUCUGCAACCCGACUCCAUGAAGCUGGAUUCGCUAGUAAUCGCGCAUCAGCCACGGCGCGGUGAAUACGUUCCCGGGCCUUGUACACACCGCCCGUCAAGCCAUGAAAGCCGGGGGUACCUGAAGUGCGUAACCGCAAGGAGCGCCCUAGGGUAAAACUGGUGAUUGGGGCU